CAGAUAUCAAACCUACGCCGUCCAAUUCCACCCAGGAGGUGGAACAAACACAGAAGCGUAAAGGUUCGAUUAUGAAGCAAUUAAGUUCAAAGGGAAGGAAAUUCGUUAAAAACGUGAUGAAUAUUGCGUCAUCAAGUUUGGGUCAGACAAGUGAAGAAAGACUUUCACAAGCUAAAUCCUAUGGAAGUAACGAGCAGUUGUUUAAGAAUUUCGACCUACUUAACAAACAGGCACAGACUUUUGUGCUAAUGCAAUUAAAGCAAUGCCGCAACAACAAAAUGGCCAGAAGGUUCACGAUGAAGCAAAAACUUAUGGCUCUAAUGCUGAUGAAGCAAAGCCUAAAGGCAUAAUUAGAAACUCCUGGAAACAAUAAGAGGACAUUACAUAGACUUUCUGAAAAAAUAUGUAUGAAACCAGGAGUUAACGCACAGAUAUUUUCUCAUAUCCGAAAUACCGUGAAACACUGGGGACAACAGCAAAAGUUAUGCUCAAUAGUAUUUGAUGAAAUUGCAUUGACACCGUACUUAACAUACAAUGAAAGUAACGAUCUAAUUCAUGGUUUUGUGGAUGUGGCUGGCGAAAGGAAAAUGAAGUUUUGUGAUCAUGCCCUGGUCUUUAUGGUAAGAGGCAUAUGUUCUUCAUGGCGGCAAUGUAUAUCAUACCACUUCUGCGAAGGAACAACAUCUACAGCCGAAAUGCAGGAAAUUUUAAAGCAAAUUGUCUCAGAAGUAGCUCAAACAGGACUAAUACCUUUUGGACUAGUUUGCGAUCAAGGAUCGACGUUUAGAACUGCGAUCAAAAGGUUCCGAGAGGAAACAGUACGUGACUGUAAUGACGAAGCCAAUUCGAAAGAUGAUGGCACAAUCAACAUUGCUGGGCAUCAUUUAAGUAUGUUAUUUGACCCGCCUCAUCUUCUCAAAGGGUUGGCGUAGCG